GGUCAAGCGAACAAGUGCAUGUGGUGGAUGCCUUGGCGAUCACAGGCGAUGAAGGACGCGGUAGCCUGCGAAAAGCUACGGGGAGCUGGCAAACGAGCUUUGAUCCGUAGAUGUCCGAAUGGGGAAACCCACUCCUUUUGGAGUAUCCAUGGCUGAAUACAUAGGCCAUGUGAAGCGAACGCGGUGAACUGAAACAUCUAAGUAACCGCAGGAAAAGAAAUCAACCGAGAUUCCCAAAGUAGUGGCGAGCGAAAUGGGAUGAGCCUUGUACUCUUUAUUUGUAUUGUUAGCCGAACGCUCUGGAAAGUGCGGCCAUAGCAGGUGAUAGCCCUGUAGGCGAAAACAGUAUGAAAGAACUAAGUGUACGACAAGUAGGGCGGGACACGUGAAAUCCUGUCUGAAGAUGGGGGGACCAUCCUCCAAGGCUAAAUACUCGUGAUCGACCGAUAGUGAACCAGU
rnacentral:rRNA from 1 species